GGGGCAAAAUUAAUAAUUUUAUAAAUAAUAAAAGUAAUUUUAAUAUUAAAAUUUUAGGGGGGUUUUAGUAUUAUUAAAAAAAAAAUUAUAAAAUUUAUAGUGAAUUAGUAUUGUAAAAUAAUUUUUAAAUAAUUUUGAAAAUAAAUUUAAUUGAAAGUAAAUUUUAUUUAUUGUAUCUUGUGUAUCAGAGUUUAUUAAAUAUAAAUUUAGUUAAAUUAUUUCUCGAAUUUAAAAGAGAUAGUUAAUUAUUAAAGUUAUUGUUGCAUAAAUAUUUUAAAUAAUUAAUUUGAAAUGAAAUGUUAAUCGUUUUUAAAAAUAUCUAGUUUUUUUAGAAAAAAAUUUAAUUUUUUUUUAUUUUUAUAAUUAAUUAAUUAAUUAAUUAAUUAUAAAAAUAAAAAUUAUAUUUUAAGGGAUAAGCUUUAAAUUAAAUUUUUAUAAUUUAUAAAUUAAUUUUAAUUAAAAUUUUUAAAAUUUAUAUUGUUUAUAAUUUUUAAUUUAUUAUAAAUUAAUUUUAAUUAAAUUAAAAUUUUUUAAUAAUUUAAUUUAUUAUAAAAAAAUAUUUUUUAAUUAAAUAAAAUUAAUUAAAAUGAUAAAAUUAGUAUUAUAAAAAAAAAAUAUAUUUAUAUAUUUUAGAAAUAAAAAUAAGGAAUUCGGCAAAAUUUUAUAUUCACUUGUUUAUCAAAAACAUGUCUUUUUGAUUUAAUAAUUUAAAGUCUAAUCUGCCCACUGAUAAAUUAUUAAAGGGCUGCAGUAUAUUGACUGUACAAAGGUAGCAUAAUCAAUAGUCUCUUAAUUGGUGACUUGUAUGAAAGAUUGGAUGAAAUAUAAACUGUCUCAAUUUUAAUAAAAAAAAUUAAUUUUUUGAUUAAAAAGUCAAAAUAAAUUUAAAAGACGAGAAGACCCUAUAGAGUUUAAUAGUUUUAUUUAUUAAAAUUAUAUAUAUUAAAUAAUAAUUAAAAUAAAUAAAUUUAUUUUGUUGGGGUGAUAAAAAAAUAAAAAAAACUUUUUUUAAUUUAAAUUCAUAUAUAAUUGAGUAAAUGAUCCAGAAUUAUUUUGAUUAAAAGAAAAAAUUACCUUAGGGAUAACAGCGUAAUUUUUUUUUUUAGUACAAAUAAAAAAAAAAGUUUGCGACCUCGAUGUUGGAUUAAGAUAAAAUUUAAAUGCAAAAGUUUAAAAUUUUGAUCUGUUCGAUCAUUAAAAUCUUACAUGAUCUGAGUUCAAACCGGUGUGAGCCAGGUUGGUUUCUAUCUUUAAUUAUGAAAAAUAUUUUAGUACGAAAGGAAUAAAUAUUUAAAUUAAAUUUAAAUUAAAAGAAUUUUAUUAAUUAAUUUAUAAAUAUAAUAGUUUAAG
rnacentral:rRNA from 1 species